AUGCGUCUAUAUCACGUUGUAACACCUUUUAGAUCUUCGAAGUUAAGCAUCGUCGAGCCUGAUUAGUAUCGAGAUGGGUGAACGCUUGGGAAUUCCAGGUGGUGGA